rnacentral:rRNA from 1 species
GGCCUACCAUGGUUUUAACGGGUAACGGGGAAUUAGGGUUCGAUUCCGGAGAGGGAGCCUGAGAAACGGCUACCACAUCCAAGGAAGGCAGCAGGCACGCAAAUUACCCAAUCCCAGAACGGGGAGGUAGUGACGAAAAAUAACAAUACGGGACUCUUAUGAGGCCCCGUAAUUGGAAUGAGAACAAUUUAAAUCCUUUAACGAGGAUCUAUUGGAGGGCAAGUCUGGUGCCAGCAGCCGCGGUAAUUCCAGCUCCAAUAGCGUAUAUUAAAGUUGUUGCAGUUAAAAAGCUCGUAGUUGAAUUUCGGGGUUAGUAGGCUGGUCAUGCCACCGGUAUGUACUGGUCUUACUGAUUCCUCCUUCCUGAUGAACUGUAAUGCCAUUAAUUUGGUGUUGCAGGGAAUCUGGACUGUUACUUUGAAAAAAUUAGAGUGUUUAAAGCAGGCUAACGCUUGAAUACAUUAGCAUGGAAUAAUGAAAUAGGACGUUCGAUCCUAUUUUGUUGGUUUCUAGGAUUGACGUAAUGAUUAAUAGGGAUAGUUGGGGGCAUUAGUAUUCAAUUGUCAGAGGUGAAAUUCUUGGAUUUAUUGAAGACUAACUACUGCGAAAGCAUUUGCCAAGGAUGUUUUCAUUAAUCAAGAACGAAAGUUAGGGGAUCGAAGACGAUCAGAUACCGUCGUAGUCUUAACCAUAAACUAUGCCGACUAGGGAUCGGAUGAUGUUAAUUUUUUAAUGACUCAUUCGGCGCCUUACG